UACGUAGGGCGCAAGCGUUGUCCGGAAUUAUUGGGCGUAAAGAGCUCGUAGGCGGUUUGUCGCGUCUGCUGUGAAAGCCCGGGGCUCAACCCCGGGUCUGCAGUGGGUACGGGCAGACUAGAGUGCAGUAGGGGAGACUGGAAUUCCUGGUGUAGGCGGUGAAAUGCGCAGAUAUCAAGGAGGAACACCGAUGGCGAAGGCAGGUCUCCCGGGCUGUUACUGACGCUGAGGAGCGAAAGCAUGGGGAGCGAACAGGAAUUGAGAUACCCCUGGUAGUCC
rnacentral:rRNA from 1 species